GGUAAAGUUGACGGGGGCCCGCACAAGCGGUGGAGCAUGUGGUUUAAUUCGACGCAACGCGAAGAACCUUACCUGGGCUUGACAUCCCGAUCGUACCUGCUGGAAACAGCGGGGUCAGUUCGGCUGGAUCGGAGACAGGUGCUGCAUGGCUGUCGUCAGCUCGUGUCGUGAGAUGUUGGGUUAAGUCCCGCAACGAGCGCAACCCUUGUCCUUAGUUGCCAUCAUUUAGUUGGGCACUCUAAGGAGACUGCCGGUGUUAAACCGGAGGAAGGUGGGGAUGACGUCAAGUCCUCAUGGCCCUUAUGUCCAGGGCUACACACGUGCUACAAUGGCCGGUACAAAGGGCAGCAAAGCCGCGAGGUGGAGCCAAUCCCAGAAAGCCGGUCUCAGUUCGGAUUGGAGUCUGCAACUCGACUCCAUGAAGUUGGAAUCGCUAGUAAUCGCGGAUCAGCAUGCCCGCGGUCGAAUACGUUCCCGGGCCUU
rnacentral:rRNA from 1 species